rnacentral:tRNA from 1 species
GGCCCCGUAGCUUAGUCUGGUGGAGUGCUGCUCUUAUAAAGCAGUGGUCCCGGGUUCAAAUCCCGGCGGGGCCA